UACGGAGGGUGCGAGCGUUGUUCGGAAUCACUGGGCGUAAAGCGCGUGUAGGCGGCCCAUUAAGUCUGAUGUGAAAGCCCGGGGCUCACCCCCGGAAGUGCAUUGGAAACUGAUGGACUCGAGUCCCGGAGAGGAGAGUGGAAUUCCUGGUGUAGCGGUGAAAUGCGCAGAUAUCAGGAAGAACACCCGUGGCUAAGGCGGCUCUCUAGUACGGUACUGACGCUGAGACGCGAAAGCGUGGGGAGCGAACAGG
rnacentral:rRNA from 1 species